UAGGGAAUCUUCGGCAAUGGACGAAAGUCUGACCGAGCAACGCCGCGUGAGUGAAGAAGGUUUUCGGAUCGUAAAACUCUGUUGUUAGAGAAGAACAAGGACGUUAGUAACUGAACGUCCCCUGACGGUAUCUAACCAGAAAGCCACGGCUAACUACGUGCCAGCAGCCGCGGUAAUACGUAGGUGGCAAGCGUUGUCCGGAUUUAUUGGGCGUAAAGCGAGCGCAGGCGGUUUCUUAAGUCGGAUGUGAAAGCCCCCGGCUCAACCGGGGAGGGUCAUUGGAAACUGGGAGACUUGAGUUCAGAAGAGGAGAGUGUAAUUCCAUGUGUAGCGGUGAAAUGCGUAGAUAUAUGGAGGAACACCAAUGGCGAAGGCGGCUCUCUGGUCUGUAACUGACGAUGAGGCUCGAAAGCGUGGCGAGCAAACAGG
rnacentral:rRNA from 1 species